rnacentral:rRNA from 1 species
GAUGUCUAGGGCUUGAGAGAGAAUUCCCACUGUACUAGACGACCAGUCUACGAGCAGCAGUAGAUUGUCAUGCGAAGCUGACAGCAUGCGGCAGGAGCUGCUAUAGUGUACUGCUUUGUCAGAUAACUAGAUACGUGUAUCUAGCUGAUGUACUGAGAAUAGAUCGCUACUCCGUGCCAGCAGCGCGUUAAUACGAGAUCCGAGCGUAUCGAUUAUUGGGUUUAAAGGGUGCGUAGCGCUAUUAAGUCAGGGUGAAAUACGGUGCUCAACCAUCGCAGUGCUUUGAUACUGAUGGGCUUGAAUCCAUUUGAGUGGGCGGAUAGACAAGUAGCGGUGAAAUGCAUAGAAAUGUCUUAGAACUCCGAUGCGAAGCCAGCUCACUAAGCUGGUAUUGACGCUGAUGCAGGAAAGCGUGGGGUUCGACCAGGAUUAGAUCCCUUGGUAGUCCACGCCUUAAAGGAGGAUAACUGGAUGUGGGCGAUAGCCAGCCAGCGUCCCAGGGAAAGCGUUAAGUUAUCCCCUUGGGGAGUACGCCCGCAAGGGUGAAAUUCAAAGGAAUUGACGGGGGCCCGCCCAAGCGGAGGACCAUGUGGUUUAAUUCGAUGAUACCGGAGGACCUUUCCCCGGGCUUAAAAGUUAGUGAAGAGUGCAGAGACCCAUUCUUCUUUCGGGCCCGGAACCUAGGUCUUCCAUGGCGGUCGUCAGCUCGUCCCGGGAGGUGUUGGGUUAAUUCCCCCACCGAGCCCAACCCUUAUGUUUAGUUGCCACCAUUUAAGGUGGGGACUCUAAACAGACUGCCUGUGCAAACAGAGAGGAAGGUGGGGACGACGUCAAGUCAUCAUGGCCCUUACGUCCGGGGCUACACACGUGCUACAAUGGAUGGUACAGCGGGCAGCUACAUAGCAAUAUGAUGCUAAUCUCUAAAAGCCAUUCACAGUUCGGAUUGGGGUCUGCAACUCGACCCCAUGAAGUUGGAUUCGCUAGUAAUCGCGUAUCAGCAAUGACGCGGUGAAUACGUUCCCGGGCCUUGUACACACCGCCCGUCAAGCCAUGAAAGUUGGGGGUACCUAAAGCAUGUUACCGCGAGGAGCG